GACGAACCGUGCGAACGUUAUUCGGAAUCACUGGGCUUAAAGCGCGUGUAGGCGGGAGGGCACGUCCGUCGCUGAAAUCCCCCGGCUCAACCGGGGAACGGGCGCGGAUACGACCUUCCUUGAGGGGCGUAGGGGGACCUGGAACUUCCGGUGGAGCGGUGAAAUGCGUAGAGAUCGGGAGGAACACCUGUGGCGAAGGCGGCCCCCUGGGCCGCGCCUGACGCUGAGACGCGAAGGCUAGGGGAGCGAACGGG
rnacentral:rRNA from 1 species